AAAGAAAAGAGCAAUCUAUAGUAAACAGGAAGAAGGAGAAAACUGUUUUUAACGAAUAAAUCAGGGACUGGGAAUAUGUCACUUAGCAGAAUACAUGCCUAGGAUGUACAAGAGCUUGGGUUUAAACUCCAGCACCAAAUCAGUUGUCAUGAUACACUUUUAGUUCCAACACUUGGAAGUAGAAGCAGGAGGAUCAGAGAAGUUCAAGGUUGUCUCUGGUUUCAAAAAUGAGUUGAAGCCAGCCUGGAUUACAUGAGGUUCUUCAGCAGUAAAUAAAUUAAACAAAAUGCUGGGGUUUUUGACAAUUUUGGUAAACAAACUUACUGACCACAAAGGAACCAUAGCACACGCUCUGCUGUCAGUGUCAGGUAUUGUCAGAAUCUACAGAGAGCUCUGGAAAGUGGUUAAGAAUAAAAGCAAGUGCUGGGAAGCUGGCAGCAUCCAGACACACAACACCUCACAGGCAGCCACCUUCAAACCCUGAGCAUGAAGCAGGGCACUUGGAUGGGUUGUCACUAUGAAGAAUAAAUCCAUAAUAAAUUCUUUUUAUUUAUAUGAGUACACCAGAAGAGGGCACUGGAUCCCAUUACAGAUGGCUGUGAGCCACCAUGUGGUUGCUGGGAAUUGAACUCAGGACCUCUGGAAGAACAGUCAGUGCUCUUAACUGCUGAGCCAUCUCUCCAGCCCCCUCAUAAUAAAUUCUUUAGAAAAUCCCUGGGCUCCAAUGACUUCACUGGAGAAUCUUACCAAAUGUUUAUGUGACCAAUUCCAUAGUCUCUUAGGAAGCUUAGAAGAGAGCAAACUGACUUUUAAAAUAUAAGUGCCCAAUCAGACAAUUGAGGAGUGAAAGCCUCAAGCCAGUCCUCUCAAGAACAGACAUAUAACCUCGGAACAUUAGGGCACAGAAUUUUUCAAAGGAUAAAAGGGCAACAACCACCAAAUGGGGCAUUUUCAAGGAGCACCAGGCUGAUUUCCAAACUCAGUAAGUGACAUCUACCAUGUUUAUCAACCAAGGAACAAUGACAUGGUCUUACCAGUGCUGCCAAAAGGGUGAUUGUCUGCAGCAGCACAUGAUGAGGAUGUCUUCCGAGCAGGAAUAGAAACCCUAUGAGAUGUGACAAAUCGGCAAGGAGUUCUGAACCCAGGAGCAAGGCAAUGUUCCCAUUACAUUCCACUUACUGGGAGACCCAGCUAUGGCAAGAGAAAGAAGUGGAAAUUAAAUAUGAUAGAAGG
rnacentral:lncRNA from 1 species